rnacentral:lncRNA from 1 species
CAACUAAUCAGUGUUUAAACAGGAUUGUUUUCUUCAUAUCCAGCAAUGUGAAUCAUUAAAAAGGAAUGAAGUAAUGUGCAGGGCAUACAGUCUUUGUAGAACUUUCUCAUUACUCAUUUUUACUAAGAAAAGUCAACAUAUGGCGGAAAUCAACAGGUCAUCCUGGAUUCCAGCAGAGCCUCCCAAGACUGAGUCUGUGCCAAGGAAGAGCAAUCAUCUUGUGGAAAUUGAAGCCAUUAUGGUCCUUAAGCUAGAAUGAUCACUCAGGAAUUGCAAAUCCAGGCCAAAGAUAGUGAUUAACCAGACCCCAACCCCAUAAAAUGGGCCUCUAUUGUGAAUGAGCCUGUCUCAUCCACCUCUUCAGAUCUGUACUCCCUUGACCUUUUUCAAGCCAUUCGCUUCUUCCCCCUUC